GGUUGGAGCCCGUGCGGCGUCAUGUUGUGAAUCUUGUCAGGGCCGGAAGGCAGCAGCAAUAAGCGAUUAUGGCGCGCGCCGCGGGAUUUUCUGGCCUGA
rnacentral:SRP_RNA from 1 species